AGAAAUGUUUUUAUAUUAAGGAUGGUAAUAUUCCAAACCAUCUUCUUAAUAAAGUUCACAUUUGUCUGUUAAUAGUGUAUUUUGUACUAUAAAGGUUGUCAACUAUCAGCACAUAUUACAUAUAUAUAUGUAAGAGUCUCAUUUACAAUCAUCAUUAAGAACUAUUAUUCUCAAACAGUGGCUAUGCUGGUUUGCUAACUUGGACGUCAGGCAUAAAAUAAGACUCCAAAACUUGGUGAUAUUUUAAGCCUGUCUAUAUAAGCAACUGGUCCUGUUACAAAAUUUGGUGAUAUAUGGCCAAAUACCUUUAAUACAAGUCUUUGAACCAGCUUAUGGUGACCAUAACUAUCGACCAUAUAAACAAAUACUUAAGGUGACCAUAACUUAUGAUCAACCAUAUAAACAAAUACUUAAGGUGACCAUAACUUAUGAUCAACCAUAUAAACAAAUACUUAAGGUGACCAGAACUAUCGACCAUAUAAACAAAUACUUAAGGUGACCAUAACUAUCGACCAUAUAAACAAACACUUAAGGUGACCAUAACUUAUGAUCAACCAUAUAAACAAAUACUUAAGGUGACCAUAACUAUCGACCAUAUAAACAAACACUUAAGGUGACCAUAACUUAUGAUCAACCAUAUAAACAAAUACUUAAGGUGACCAUAACUAUCGACCAUAUAAACAAACACUUAAGGUGACCAUAACUUAUGAUCAACCAUAUAAACAAAUACUUAAGGUGACCAUAACUAUCGACCAUAUAAACAAACACUUAAGGUGACCAUAACUUAUGAUCAACCAUAUAAACAAAUACUUAAGGUGACCAUAACUAUCGACCAUAUAAACAAACACUUAAGGUGACCAUAACUUAUGAUCAACCAUAUAAACAAAUA